rnacentral:hammerhead_ribozyme from 1 species
CACCUGAGGAGUCCCACAACAGGACGAAACGGCCGUCCAGUG